UGGGCGUAAGCGCGCGCAGGUGGUUUCUUAAGUCUGAUGUGAAAGCCCACGGCUCACCUGUGGAGGGUCAUUGGAAACUGGGAGACUUGAGUGCAGACCAGGAAAGUGGAAUUCCAUGUGUAGCGGUGAAAUGCGUAGAGAUAUGGAGGAACACCAGUGGCGAAGGCGACUUUCUGCUCUGUAACUGACACUGAGGCGCGAAAGCGUGGGGAGCAAACAGGAUUAGAUACCCUGGUAGUCCCCGCCGUAAACGAUGAGUGCUAAGUGUUAGAGGGUUUCCGCCCUUUACUGCUGAAGCUAACGCAUUAAGCCCUCCGCCUGGGGAGGACGGCCGCAAGGCUGAAACUCCAAAGAAUUGAC
rnacentral:rRNA from 1 species